CUAUUGGGCACUUGGUUCUUAUUUGAUUCUAGCAAAACAGUUGCCACUUGAGACAGGAAGAGCUUUAUUCAUCAAAGGAAGGGAGUCAAGGCAUAGCACAGCCAAGGACUGACCUUCAACCUUGCCCGUUCAAGUUUGGCAGGUGCUCAGCUGAGAGUGGGAAAGACAGGAUCCGCUUGGCAGGGAGCGGGUGGGUUACCCAGGAGUGUGUGCAGAAACGCUCUCUCGCCUGCCUCCUCUCCCGGUUACCGACUACUUUCCCCUUCUUGAUGUGCACCCACUCAUUCAAUGUUGGUAACACUCCAAAGAGAGGGUGCUGGCUCCCUGUUCUGGAGGUGAGGACGCCAAGGCUCAGACGGGGUGAGGAACUCACACAGCCGCCCAGCUUUCUCUCAUACAGAUGAGGAAAUGAGGCUCUGAGAGGUCAACGACCUGCCUGAGUCACAUAGCCAGCGAGUGGGAGCGUCAGCAACCGAACCCAGAAACACCGCUUCCCAGCCACCUGGCUACCCUCGUCCACCCCUUGCUGAAGCCUCUGAGCCCUGUUCGUGUCUGCUCAGUGACGAGCCUGUCAGUGGCCCAAGAAUUGGCGCUCCGGGGAGCUGGGCCUGGAGGCUGCUGCGCUCACACCUGCUCGCUCUGCCAGGCAAGACAUCGGAGCCUCGGAACCUGCAGCAGGCUCCAGAAAGGUGAGAAGACGUGGCGGUGAUCCAAUCAGACAAGAAGCCUCCCCUGGCAGCCACCAUCCGCCGAGCCUCGUGGGGCUCUGGGCUGGCCGUGCCCCGCUGACUCUUCCCCAUCUCUCGGGGGUGGAAACUAUGAUUGUCCUCGUCUUACAGCCGGGGAAACUGAGGUUCUGAGAGCCUGAGCAAUGCACCCAAGGUCACUCAGUUAGUGGCAGAACCGGGCCUGGAACUCAGGCCCUUCUGAAGCCAGAUCCCGAAGAGAGAUUUUUCUCAGCGCUCAUCAGAUUGGGCCAUUCCUUUGCAUAAUCCUCCUCAGUGGCCUCCACACUCCUGAACUCGGCCCAAGGGUCCUGCAAGGCCUGAUCCUGACCUUCAUCUUCUGCCUCAUCUCUCUCCUGUCUAUCUUGAGCCCCUUCACCCUGACUGAGUGCUUUCCUCCAGCCACGCUGAUCCUUCUGAUCCCCAGUGUAAGGUCCAGUGUUCUCUUACCUCCCAGCCUUCACACAUGCUAUUCCCUCUGCCCAGAACGCCCUUCCCUUCCUCCUGAUAUGGUUAACAUUCCUUCUCCUCCAGGGCUCAGCCAGGUGUAACCUCCUCAGGGAUGCUCUCCUCAUCUCCCCAAGGCUGUGAGCUGCCCCACUUCCUGCCCUCCCUAUGCGGGGCUUGCCCCAUCCAGAAGCUAAUUCCCCUACCAGCCUGUGAGUUCCCGAGGCCAGGGUCUUCAUCUGCCUUUUUCAGAGUUAUAGCCCCAGCACACAGGCCAGGGCCCAGCACACAACAGGAGCUCAACUUGUACUUGCUGAAUGAACAAAUCAAUGAAAAAUUGCAGGGGCAGGCCCAGUGGCAUAGUGGUUCAGUUCGUGCACUCUGCUUCAGCAGCCUGGGAUUUGUGGGUUUGGAUCCCGGGUGUGGACGUACACCCCGCUCAUCAAGCCAUGCUGUGGAAGGUCCCCCAUACAAAAUAGAGGUAGAUUGGCACAGAUGUUAGCUCAGGGCCAAUCUUUCUCACCAAAAAAGAAAAAUAAAACUGCCGAAGUCGCUGUCCUAGCCUCCUCUUCUCACAGUGCUGUGAGCUGUAGUCGCAUAAACACAGUGGCUAUUUUUCAUGAUAAAUGAAAAUGGGCGGUUAUUAACAGAAUUAUCGACUUUAUGUAAACUUGCCAUAUCUGGG
rnacentral:lncRNA from 1 species